GGGCACUUGGUCUAGGGGUAUGAUUUGUAAGACUCUCCAAUACUCUAUACGUAUAAGCAGAUUCUAACAGUAGUAAAGUCGCUUCGCAUUAUCCAGAAAUGUCUGUGAAAGGUCGUGGGUUCAAUUCCCACAGUGUCCA